rnacentral:rRNA from 1 species
GAUGAACGCUAGCUACAGUCUUAACACAUGCAAGUCGAGGGACCGGCGCACGGGUGAGUCACACGUAUCCAACCUGCCCUUUACCCGGGGAUAGCCUUUAGAAAGAAAGAUUAAUACCCGAUAUAAAGGAUGGGGAUGCGUUCCAUUAGGGUGUUGGUGAGGUAACGGCUCACCAAGCCUUCGACGGAUAGGGGUUCUGAGAGGAAGGUCCACUGGGUUGUAACGGAGGCACGGUCCAAACUCGUACGGAAGGGAGGAGUGAGUAAUGUAGGGCAAUAGUGGCUAGCCGGACACAGCCAAGUAGCGUGAAGGAUGAAGGCGUAGGGGUCGUAAGCUUCUAUUAUAUAACAAUAGGUAUUAUAUGAGUAAGGAUCGGCUAACUCCGUGCCAGCAGCCGCGGUAAUAC